CAACCAGUCAAUGCGGGAGCCUUCUCAGCUGGACCCAGGGCCACACCUCUGCCCACCGGCUCACACCUGGGCCAUGCAAGGCGGGGUGGAUGCACCUGCCUGGCCCUUGAGCGCGUGGGGGAGCCACCGUUGCCCACUUGGGAGGCUCAGUUCUGAGGUCGGGAUUCCAGGCACUCCCUUCUCCCCCAUUCCGAAACCUCCUGACUGGAAGAACUCUCUCGGCACAGCCUUUUCUUUCAGGGUCCCAAAGUGCCUGUGAGCAGGCAGCUCCUGAUCUCCUCUGUGACACCCACAGACUCAAAGACACCCAUAUGCUCACUCAUGCAGACAGGCGCUCUCGCCUGUGGCUCUGAGGCUGAGCCGGCUUUGCCUUGGUGAAGGACAAGGCCCUGGCGACCCAGAUUCUCUCGUGGGUGGCUGGGGACAGAAGGGCGGUGGCGCGCUGGGCUGGCUGGAGGGCUCAGGCUCCGGCGCGAGUCCUGCAAGGAUGCUGCCUCCAAGUGUGCUUGUGGGUGGCGGAUCCCAGGGCCUGCCGGGAGAGUGUCCACUCCUCAGGAGGCCUGGCUGCUCAGCGGCGCCCCUCUGUGGCGAGACUCGCCCAGGCCCAUGUCCGGCCCAUCUCGCCCCAGCCAGGCUCCCCUGGGCAGCCUCAGGACAGAGAACCCUGAAUUCAGAGGGAGGCUGGAGGUGUGGGGCCUCUAGGCACUUGCAGGGUGGAGCUACCCCACACCCAGGGCUCACCCUCAGACCUACCCAGGCGUCUCCAGCCUCACGCUCCCAGAGGUAAGGAAGGGGCUUCAGGAAGGUGGGGGCUACCUCCCCGCCCAGUACCGUCAGGCUCUGAAUUCGUACCUGGGAACUCUGCCUUGGCUGACUUGGGGACCCCUUCACUGCUCAGCCUUCCCCUCUCUUCCUGCCGGGCGGUCCACCUAAGCUCCCUGACUCUUCCCACGCGGCCCUGGGUCCCCUCCCCACAGGCUGUUCCCUGCACCCGCGGGUGGGACUGGACCUUUCCCUGCACGUCCAGUCUGUUUCCCGCGGUCUUCCUCCGUCUGACCCUGGCAGCCCGCUCCUCUGGCCCCGGGCUGUGUGGGGACCGCUUUCCCCCAGGCCCGUCGUCAGUGUCCUGAGCUCCGCCGACUCCCGCCCAUUGGCGUCGCAGGCCUGGUGACAAGCUGUCGCUGGCAUCUAGGGCUCCUGGGACUCAGGCACAUGGAGCUCCCUCGGGGCCAAAUUUGUGUCACGCGCAGGGACACCGGAGGCGCGUGCACAGUCCGUGUAACGGCUUUGCUUGGCGCGUCUCCGUUUCUCUUCUGAGGGGCUGAGAGUCGCGGAGUUUCCUAGUUGGAGGCUGUGGCGGACGCGAUUUGCUUCCUCAUAUAGGGUUCCGGAGGCGGCGAAAAGUCCAGCGGGUCUCCGAAGCCGGUAGACGGAGCCAUGAAGAAGACGUCGGGCUUCAGGAGGGGGAAGGGCGGGCUGCCCUGGGGCUCGGUCAGCAGCCCCGGGAAGGUGGGCGCGGGCGCCGGGAGUGAGAGUGCGGACCACGCCUCCUCCCAGCCCAGGCGCCACGACCCGGACAAGGGGUUCGACAGGCUCCGCAGAGCUGCCGGCCGACACCGGACAGAGACGAUGCGGCGGAUCCUUUCUCUGCCGAAGAGUGGCGUGGAUGACAGAGACGAGAAGAACAGGCUGUCCAACGAACAGAGUUCUGGUGACUCAUGGCUUUCAAUAGAUGAUGAACUCUUUGAUUCUGGUACCAAGACUACCUUUGAGAAUGUUCCACAGAAAUAUGAUAGUCACUUAACUGGAGCUGAUGAUGGUCAAAGAGGAAAAAUUACAAUAAAGGAACAAGAAGGACCACACUCUCAGUAGCAAGGGUAUAGCUGUGCCUUCAGAGAAAUCUCGAAGAAGAGCCCUUGGAUCACCACUCAAGACAUAACAGGAUCAAGGGAAAGCAUGAUUUUCCCUUUAUUUCUGAGCGUGUCUCUGGCCAGAGGGGAAGGAGAAAGAGAUGAAGAAACAGAAAUCAUCAUUGGAAGAUACUACUGCUAAAUGAAGAGAAGAGAAGUCAUGGGAAUAGUCCAUCAAAAGGCGGCAGAAAGGUCAGAAUCAGGACAACAGAUCUAGAGACUACUUUUGCAAAGGAAGAGGGAUUGUGAGUGGAGGAGGAGGGAGGAAAGAAAGAAGUUGGCUAGUUAAUUUUGGAGUUGAUAAUAGGGAAACUUGAGAGCUGUCACUUCUAGUGACUGCAAUAUAUUGGCACUCAAACAGAAGAUUAGGUGAUUGCUGUUCCAGGAAUUACUGGAAGGAGGGAGUGCUAGAAUGGGGGUAAACCACAGGAACUAAUUUCUUCUCUCUGUAACUAUCAGACAUCAAAGA
rnacentral:lncRNA from 1 species